AUAAUACAAUUCGGCCUUUUUUCAUUUAAAACAAUACGAAUUUAGAUUAACUGCCACACAUGCUCUUAUGUUCUCUUAAACAAGGAACAAGUUAUUCCUUCUAUUAUUCUAUUCAUAAAAACUGCCAACAUUAAUGAGGGAUCCUACAAAGAGAUAGCAGCCGGUGGCAUUUCUGAUCCUGAUUCAAUGAGUCAAUAUAUAUGAAUCUAGCACUGAUGGUCCUCACAAAAUCUUAUGCAUCUUAUGUAUAACUUGUUAUACAUAUGUAUGUGUGUAUAUAUAUAUAUAUAUAUAUAUAUACACAUAUGUGUGUGUGUGUGAAUGAAAGUGAUAUAAAAUCUUCAACUGAGAAAAACUUUAUUGUUUGUGGUAGAAUAUAACUGUGUCUUCUGCAAUAUUUUCCUCACACAUAGAUCGAUUUUUAUAUUACGUCUUUCUGUUUGUUAAAAUUUAGUUUGUAUCCAUAUUAGAGUACAUGAGGAAGAGUAUUUUGAUGAUGAAUUUUCAGUAUAAUUAUAUUGAUUCAAGUAUGUACAGUUUAAUGGAUUACAUUGUGUUUGAGAUUGCAAGUAUUGGUAUUUAUAAUG
rnacentral:lncRNA from 1 species